UUAUACUAUGUAGGCCAGACUAGUCUCAAACCCGAGAUCUUCCACCUCAGCUUCCUGAAUGCUGACACUGUCUGUCAGUCACUGUUCCUGAAGCAUGUGUUCCUUGUACUUCUAGCAAAGCAGGAGCCUUCUUUAGCCCCCAGUGGGGGGUCUAAGGACAGAUCCACAGCUGUGAGUCAAAGCUGCAUUGCUUCAGGCAACACCCAGUUCUUUUUCUCUCUCUGCCCCAGAGGGAAGUUUCUAGAACUGUGGAAGAUAUAAAGGUAGAAACACUAAGAAAAACAGAAGUCAUUGAAGACCAGUUGUACAGCUGGACCCUUGUUUUGAAGCUUUCCAGAACAAGUAAAGAAAUCGAAGGGAACUGUGUGUUUCCACACCUACCCACCCACAGGCUGCUGAGAUCCACUGUGUCUGCAGCAGAUCCCCAACCCUAGCGGAGCCAGCCUCUGCUUCACCUCCCUCAGAAGCCCCAGGCAGAUGGUAAUGGCUGUUUAAACACACCCCUGCACUCAUCUGCAAUCCAGCAAAGGAGGAGAAUGAAGCUUGGAAUAGAACAUCAAACAAGACACAGUCUGCCAAGAUCAGCCAGUGGCAGGAAGGAAGAGCGUCCCCGGACAACUCGCACUAUGCCUGCCUUGCUUUACAGCCCAUGAGUUCCACAGGGCUAGCCUGCUCUACAGCUAGAGUCCCCGUUAUCCUGAGCUUCCUGGACUAGUCCUGACAAUACGGCAGAAAAGCCUGGUACUGUGCCAAGCAACGGGGACGCAGCACUGAGCAAUGGAGAGGCGGCGCCGGGCAAUAGAGACGCAGUGGAGAGCAGACAGGCAUCUCUGUGCACAGCCCAGAGUGGGAAACAGACAGGUAAACAGGCAAUUACAAUACCGGUGAUAAGCACUGUGGUGGCGGACAUGCCGCUUCCCUCUUCAUAAAGAAAGCCAUGCCAGCCUACGCAGACGUUGGAGUUACACAUAAUUUCCUUUCUCCCAAGCCUAUAUGUAAUAAUAGUCCCGUGUGAAAUGUUUCUGUUCUUUAUAAUGGUACCUAUUAUUUCCAUUAGUAUAAAUAACACAAGCAAGGCACCUAGCGCAUAGGCAGGGCUCAAUCAGCAGUCAUUGUUAAGGUGGGCUCCUGACCUGGCACUAUCUCUUGCUUUGGGGCUCAUUUUUCUCUGCAGUAAAUUAGGAAUCAUAACAGCUAUUCUAUAGGUUCAUUGUGAAGAUCACAUGAAUGGUAUAUGUGAAGACAUUGUGUAAGCUGGAGGGAAUUAUAUUAAAGAAUUUCACU